rnacentral:rRNA from 1 species
AAAGAAAGUAGACAAGGGCGCAUGGCGGAUGCCUUGGCUCAUGGAGGCGAUGAAGGACGUGAUAAGCUGCGAUAAGCUCCGGGUAGGUGCAAAUAACCUUUGAUCCGGAGAUUUCCGAAUGGGACAACCCAGCUGCCACAAGGCAGUUAUCACUGUCAAUCAGUGAGGCGAACGGAGGGAACUGAAACAUCUUAGUACCUCCAGGAAGAGAAAAUAAAUGAAUGAUUCCCCCAGUAGUGGCGAGCGAACGGGGAAGAGCCCAAACCGUCGCCGUAGCAAUGCGGCGCCGGGGUUGUAGGACCGUGUCAUUGUACCUGGAAUGUGAGUGGAACGUUAAUGGAAAUUGCGGCCAGAGCGGGUGACAGCCCCUUACACGAAGCAUUCCCGGGCAUAAUGGUAUCCUGAGUAACGCGGAGCACGAGAAAUUCUGCGCGAAUCUGCCGGGACCAUCCGGUAAGGCUAAAUACUCCCAUGAGACCGAUAGUGAACCAGUACCGUGAGGGAAAGGUGAAAAGCACCUCGACGAGAGGAGUGAAACAGAUCCUGAAACCAUACGCCUACAAGCGGUCGGAGCUGCCUUUGGCAGUGACGGCGUGCCUUUUGCAUAAUGAACCUACGAGUUACCAUCUCUGGCGAGGUUAAGUGGCAUAAUCCACGCAACCGCAGUGAAAGCGAGGCUGAACAGGCCAUCUAGUCAGAGGGGGUAGACGCGAAACCAAGUGAUCUACACAUGUCCAGGGUGAAGUUCCGGUAACACGGAAUGGAGGCCCGCACCAAUAAGCGUUGAAAAGCUUCUGGAUGAGGUGUGUGUAGGAGUGAAAGGCCAAUCAAACUUGGAGAUAGCUCGUACUCCCCGAAAGGCAUUUAGGUGCCGCGUGGGGUGAUCUGCAUGAGAGGUAGAGCGACCGAUAGGUCAAGAGGGCUUCACCGCCUAUCGCGACCUGACGAACUCCGAAUGCUCAUGCACAGCAGCCCUGCAGUAAGGGGGCGGGUGCUAAGGUCCGUCCCCGAGAGGAGAAGAAUCCAGACCGCCAUCUAAGGUCCCGAAGUUCUGCCUGAGUUAGUCUAACGAAGUCCGGUCCCCGUGACAGCUAGGAUGUUGGCUUGGAAGCAGCCAUUCAUUCAAAGAGUGCGUAACAGCUCACUAGUCGAGGGUCCGGGCGUGGAUAAUAAUCGGGUAUAAGGCAGGCACCGAAGGUGCGGGAUAGUAAUGUACAUUAAAAGUAUCGGUAGGGGAGCAUUCCAUGUGCGUCGAAUGUUGGGGGACGACCCUGGCUGGAGCGCAUGGAAAAGCAAAUGUAGGUAUAAGUAACGAUAAGGAGGGUGAGAUUCCCUCCCGCCGCAAGACCAAGGUUUCCCGGGCAAUGCCAAUCAGCCCGGGGUCAGUCGGGUCCUAAGCCUCAGCCGAAUGGCGAUGGCGAUGGCAGACACGGUUAAUAUUCCGUGACUGCUGCAUGAUGCGAUUGCGGAGACGGAGAAGUGACACCGCCGCGGGCUGACGGAACAGCCCGUUGAAGAGAUUAGGCGCCGAUCAUGGCAGGCAAAUCCACCAUGAGAGCUGAAUCUUGAAAGUAUGCCCGUCCCCUCGGGGAAGGGCAAUAGUGCGGGUAAUCAUGCUCCCUAGAAAAUCCGCUAAGCUCCAGUCAUGCAGCACCCGUACCGCAAACGGACACACGUAGUCGGGUUGAACAUACUAAGGCGUUGAGAGAUUCAUGGUUAAGGAACUAGGCAAAUUAACCCCGUAACUUCGGGAAAAGGGGUCCUCGUCAUAUUGACGAGGCGCAGAGAAUAGGUCCAGGCAACUGUUUAACAAAAACACAGGGCUGUGCUAACACGAAAGUUGAUGUAUACAGUCUGACACCUGCCCGGUGCCGGAAGGUUAAGAGGAGAGGUCAUACCUUAGGUAGAAGCCUUGAAUUGAAGCCCCGGUAAACGGCGGCCGUAACUAUAACGGUCCUAAGGUAGCGAAAUUCCUUGUCGGGUAAGUUCCGACCUGCACGAAUGGUGUAAUGAUCCGGACACUGUCUCAAUCAUGAUCUCAGUGAAAUUGUAGUAUCGGUGAAGAUGCCGAUUACCCGCGAUGGGACGAAAAGACCCCGUGAACCUUUACUACAGCUUAGCAUUGACCUCGGUCAUCCGAUGUGUAGGAUAGGCCGGAGGCUUUGAAGUUGCCGCGCCAGCGGUGAUGGAGCCAUCCUUGAAAUACGGCCCUUUGGCUGUCUGAGGUCUAACGCGCGGUUAGUGCGGACACUGCUUGGUGGGUAGUUUGACUGGGGUGGUCGCCUCCAAAAGCGUAACGGAGGCUUCCAAAGGUGCCCUCAGGUCGAUUGGUAACCGACCUUUUAGAGUGCAAUGGCAUAAGGGCGCUUGACUGGGAGGCAGACAUGCCGAGCAGGCAGGAAACUGGGGCAUAGUGAUCCGGUGCAAGUGUAUGGAAACUGCAUCGCUCAAAGGAUAAAAGGUACUCCGGGGAUAACAGGCUGAUCCCCCCCAAGAGCUCAUAUCGACGGGGUGGUUUGGCACCUCGAUGUCGGCUCGUCACAUCCUGGGGCUGGAGAAGGUCCCAAGGGUUGGGCUGUUCGCCCAUUAAAGUGGCACGCGAGCUGGGUUCAGAACGUCGUGAGACAGUUCGGUCUCUAUCUAUCGUGGGCGCGGGAGUUUUGCGUGGUGCCGUCACUAGUACGAGAGGACCGUGAUGGACAGACCUCCGGUUUACCAGUUGUGCCGCCAGGCGCACCGCUGGGUAGCUGAGUCUGGUUAGGAUAAGCGCUGAAAGCAUCUAAGUGCGAAGCCAUCCGCAAGAUUAGAACUCCACAUAAGGGUCGUCGUAGACUACGACGUUGAUAGGGUGUAGGUGUAAAGCCAGCGAUGGCAAAGCCGAGCACUACUAAUUGCCCAAUAACUUUCUUU